AUUGAACGCUGGCGGCAUGCCUUACACAUGCAAGUCGAACGGCAGCACGGGUGCUUGCACCUGGUGGCGAGUGGCGAACGGGUGAGUAAUACAUCGGAACGUACCUUAUCGUGGGGGAUAACGCAGCGAAAGCUGUGCUAAUACCGCAUACGCCCUGAGGGGGAAAGCGGGGGAUCGAAAGACCUCGCGCGAUUAGAGCGGCCGAUGCCUGAUUAGCUUGUUGGUGGGGUAAAAGCCCACCAAGGCGACGAUCAGUAGCUGGUCUGAGAGGAGGAUCAGCCACACUGGGACUAAGACACGGCCCAGACUCCUACGGGAGGCAGCAGUGGGGAAUUUUGGACAAUGGGGGCAACCCUGAUCCAGCAAUGCCGCGUGAGUGAAGAAGGCCUUCGGGUUGUAAAGCUCUUUUGUCAGGGAAGAAACACCGGCUCUAACACAGUCCGGGAAUGACGGUACCUGAAGAAUAAGCACCGGCUAACUACGUGCCAGCAGCCGCGGUAA
rnacentral:rRNA from 1 species